AUACGUAGGGUGCGAGCGUUAAUCGGAAUUACUGGGCGUAAAGCGUGCGCAGGCGGUGAUGUAAGACAGAUGUGAAAUCCCCGGGCUCAACCUGGGAACUGCGUUUGUGACUGCAUCACUCGAGUACGGCAGAGGGAGGUGGAAUUCCACGUGUAGCAGUGAAAUGCGUAGAGAUGUGGAGGAACACCGAUGGCGAAGGCAGCCUCCUGGGCCAGUACUGACGCUCAUGCACGAAAGCGUGGGGAGC
rnacentral:rRNA from 1 species